rnacentral:rRNA from 1 species
UGCCGCGUGGAUGAAGAAGGUCUUCGGAUUGUAAAGUCCUUUCGACGGGGACGAUGAUGACGGUACCCGUAGAAGAAGCCCUGGCUAACUUCGUGC